UAAGAUAAAAUUUCAAAGUAGUUUUGAUUUGUAUUUCCUUGAUGGCUAAGGAUGUUAAUUAAGCAUCUCUUUAAGUGUUUCUCAGACAUUUGAGUUUCAACUAUUGAGAAUUCUCUGUUUAGAUAUGUAUUUCGUUUUUAAAUUGGAUUAUUUGUUUUCCUGAUAUUUAGCUUCCUGAGUUCUUAUAUAUUUUGGAUAUUAGUCUUCUAUUGGAUGUGUAGUUGCUAAAAGUCUUUUCCCAUUUUGUAAGGCUGUGCUUUGUUGGAAUAACAGUGUCUUUUGCCAGGCAGAAGUGUCUCAGUUUCAUGAUAUCCCACUUAAUAAUUGUUGAUCUUAGUGCCUAUACUAACAGUGUUCUGAACAGAAAGCCUUUUUCUUGUAUAAAUGAGCUUCAGCCUAUUCCCUAUUUCUCUUCUAUCAGGUUCAGUGUAUCUGAUUUUAUGUUGAGGUCUUUGAUCCAUUUGGCGUUGACUUUUGUGCAGGGUGAUAAUUAUGGAUCUACUUGGAUUUUCUUCUACAUACAGCCAUCCAGUUUAACCAGCACCAUUUGUUGAAGAUGCUUUUUCCAAGUGUAUGUUUGUGGCAUUUUUAUUAAAAACAAGUAUCCAUGGGUGUGUGGAUUCAUAUCUGUGUACUCAAUUCAAUUCCACUGACCUAUAUGUUUUAUGCCAAUACCAUGCUGUUUUUAUUACUAUA
rnacentral:lncRNA from 1 species